rnacentral:rRNA from 1 species
CCAGAGUACCACGGGACACGUGAAACCCUGUGGGAAGCAGGAGGGACCACCCUCCAAGGCUAAAUACUACCUAGUGACCGAUAGCGUAUAGUACCGGGAGGGAAAGGUGAAAAGAACCCCGGGAGGGGAGUGAAAUAGAACCUGAAACCCUGCACUUACAAGCUGUGGAAGCACAUUUCUUGUGUGACCGCGUACUUUUUGUAGAACGGGCCAACGAGUUACGU